rnacentral:rRNA from 1 species
UACGUAGGGGGCAAGCGUUGUCCGGAAUCAUUGGGCGUAAAGAGCGUGUAGGCGGCUCGGUAAGUCCGCUGUGAAAGUCCAGGGCUCAACCCUGGAAUGCCGGUGGAAACUGUCGAGCUCGAGUCCGGAAGAGGCGAGUGGAAUUCCCGGUGUAGCGGUGAAAUGCGCAGAUAUCAGGAAGAACACCCGUGGCUAAGGCGGCUCUCUAGUACGGUACUGACGCUGAGACGCGAAAGCGUGGGGAGCGAACAGG